CAGUCGCCACGGUAAUACGUAGGGUGCAAGCGUUAAUCGGAAUUACUGGGCGUAAAGCGUGCGCAGGCGGUCCGCUAAGACAGAUGUGAAAUCCCCGGGCUUAACCUGGGAACUGCAUUUGUGACUGGCGGGCUAGAGUAUGGCAGAGGGGGGUAGAAUUCCACGUGUAGCAGUGAAAUGCGUAGAGAUGUGGAGGAAUACCGAUGGCGAAGGCAGCCCCCUGGGCCAAUACUGACGCUCAUGCACGAAAGCGUGGGGAGCAAACAGGAUUAGAUACCCGCGUAGUCCCUGUCUCUUAUAC
rnacentral:rRNA from 1 species